UCACGCUCCACGAACGGAACCUGCGCACGGAGGCGGUAGCGCGGGGUGGCAGCCGGCAAUGAGGCGGCCGCGCUACGUGACGAGCUACGGGUCCCCCUUUGUGAUGUUUUGGCAUCGCUCCUUCAUCGCACAUCCUCAGGUACGUCAAUUCACUUCCUUCCCUUCCCUUCGUCCCUCGGUCCCACGCUCGUGGCGCUGAAGUGGUGGCAACAGGCGAUGGCGGUGGUGUCGCUGAUGGCGGCGAGGACAGCAUGUGGCAGCUCCCGAAGCAUGAACACGACCGCACCUCGGGCCUGCCGUCUGCCAAGAUAUGGCUCUGGCCGAUUGACAAUGGAGGUUUGGGAUCCUUCCUCUCAGCACCCACUCCUGGAAGAAUCAGCGGUGCGCCACGCCAAUUGAACCCCGUCGAGAUCACUCGCCAAGAUUG